UUUUGAGGUAUUUCUGCCUGGAGGAGGUAUGCUGUACUACCUUGACUAUAUCCGCAGGGGUGACAUUCAGCUGUCUCUCAAUUACUGGCCUAGCCCUUGAUGAGCAGUUCUGCAUGUGCCUCUUUGACUGUUUCAAAGAUUUAAGUUGGGGAAAAGACGUGGGAGCAUGUAAGUAGUAGUCUUGGUCUUCUUGGAGCAGGAGAGGUGAAUGAUGGGAUCCAAAAAAAGGCUUGACAUAAAGGAGAUUGAAUACCACUAAUGGCAACACUAGAGAUUUCCGAAGCGAAGAAGAUGGCGCCCAUGAACUCCGAU